rnacentral:rRNA from 1 species
UACGUAGGGGGCUAGCGUUGUCCGGAAUCAUUGGGCGUAAAGAGCUCGUAGGCGGUUCGUCGCGUCGGCUGUGAAAUCCCGAGGCUCAACCUCGGGUCUGCAGUCGAUACGGGCGGACUGGAGUUCGGCAGGGAGACUGGAAUUCCUGGUGUAGCGGUGAAAUGCGCAGAUAUCAGGAAGAACACCGGUGGCGAAGGCGGCUCUCUGGCCUUACCUGACGCUGAGGAGCGAAAGCGUGGGUAGCGAACAGG